CCUACGGGAGGCAGCAGUGGGGAAUAUUGGACAAUGGGCGAAAGCCUGAUCCAGCCAUGCCGCGUGUGUGAAGAAGGCCUUCGGGUUGUAAAGCACUUUCAGUGGGGGAGAAAGCCUUGGGGCUAAUACCCUCGAGGAAGGACAUCACCCACAGAAGAAGCACCGGCUAACUCCGUGCCAGCAGCCGCGGUAAUACGGAGGGUGCGAGCGUUAAUCGGAAUUACUGGGCGUAAAGCGCGCGUAGGCGGUCUGAUAAGCCGGUUGUGAAAGCCCCGGGCUCAACCUGGGAACGGCAUCCGGAACUGUCAGGCUAGAGUGCAGGAGAGGAAGGUAGAAUUCCCGGUGUAGCGGUGAAAUGCGUAGAGAUCGGGAGGAAUACCAGUGGCGAAGGCGGCCUUCUGGACUGACACUGACGCUGAGGUGCGAAAGCGUGGGUAGCAAACAGGAUUAGAUACCCGAGUAGUC
rnacentral:rRNA from 1 species